AUGCUGCUUACUUCUCCAGCUUUUGAAGCACAGGUUUUAUGUUUGUUUGUUUGGGAUAGAAUCUCACUCUGUCACCCAGGCCAGAGAGCACUGACAUUGUCAUGGCUCCCUGCACUCUCAAACUCCCAAGCUCAAGCAAUCCUCCCACCUCAGCCUCCCAAGUAGCUGGGACUACAGAUUCUCCUGUUUGCUUCCUAAGACAGAAGAUAAAUGGGAGGAAAAGGAUCAAAUGUGAAAAUUCUGAUGGGCUGCUCCAUUGGGAAGUCAAGACUGUAUCUUAAGUGCUGUAUUCCACUCGAUGCUCCAUUUUCCUGCUUGCUGCAGUAACUGUGGUUUCAUACAGAGUACUAGAACUACCAGGGGCAAACCAGAGACAACAGCAUCUACCUCGUAGUAAUAUUUUAGAGAUUAAAUG
rnacentral:antisense_RNA from 1 species